rnacentral:tRNA from 1 species
GAGCUUAUAGUUCAAGUGGUUAGAAUAUACCGCUCAUAACGGUAAUGUUGUAGGUUCAAGUCCUACUAAGCUUA